CCUACGGGAGGCUGCAGUGGGGAAUAUUGGACAAUGGGGGGAACCCUGAUCCAGCCAUGCCGCGUGUGUGAAGAAGGCCCUCGGGUUGUAAAGCACUUUCAGUGAGGAAGAACGCCUGGUGGUUAAUACCCAUCAGCAAAGACAUCACUCACAGAAGAAGCACCGGCUAACUCCGUGCCAGCAGCCGCGGUAAUACGGAGGGUGCGAGCGUUAAUCGGAAUUACUGGGCGUAAAGCGCGCGUCAGGUGGCUUGAUCAGCCGGUUGUGAAAGCCCCGGGCUCAACCUGGGAACGGCAUCCGGAACUGGCAAGCUUGAGUGUAGGAGAGGAAGGUAGAAUUCCCGGUGUAGCGGUGAAAUGCGUAGAGAUCGGGAGGAAUACCAGUGGCGAAGGCGGCCUUCUGGACUGACACUGACGAUGAGGUGCGAAAGCGUGGGGAGCAAACAGGAUUAGAUACCCUAGUAGUC
rnacentral:rRNA from 1 species